AUUGAACGCUGGCGGCAGGCUUAACACAUGCAAGUCGAGCGGGGUGAUGGUGCUUGCACUAUCACUUAGCGGCGGACGGGUGAGUAAUGCUUAGGAAUCUGCCUAUUAGUGGGGGACAACAUCUCGAAAGGGAUGCUAAUACCGCAUACGUCCUACGGGAGAAGGCAGGGGAUCACUUGUGACCUUGCGCUAAUAGAUGAGCCUAAGUCGGAUUAGCUAGUUGGUGGGGUAAAGGCCUACCAAGGCGACGAUCUGUAGCGGGUCUGAGAGGAUGAACCGCCACACUGGGACUGAGACACGGCCACGACUCCUACGGGAGGCAGCAGUGGGGAAUAUUGGACAAUGGGGGGAACCCUGAUCCAGCCAUGCCGCGUGUGUGAAGAAGGCCUUAUGGUUGUAAAGCACUUUAAGCGAGGAGGAGGCUCUUUUGGUUAAUACCCAAGAUGAGUGGACGUUACUCGCAGAAUAAGCACCGGCUAACUCUGUGCCAGCCGCCGCAGUAA
rnacentral:rRNA from 1 species